GUCUGCCUCUUCAUGUCAAGAAGGAACCCCGCCUCCGAGCAUGGAGCUGCACCCCUACCCUUCUUCGCAUACUUCUCUUCCCCUACCUGCACCUUGCCCCUCUCUACCCCUCCCACGCAGGCCCCACCAUAGCCACUGGACGGUUUCUUUUAUCCGUCCCGUCUGUCUAGUCCCCACCCACGAAUGUAUGUCCAUGGAAAGAAAGGGAAGAAGCGAAAGAACGUUGGAAAUUAAAGGGAGGUGGGGUUGGUUGAUCAAGAAGAGGAGAGAUACAAUGUAUCUGAAAGGAGGGGGAACAGGGGAGGAGGUGGAGGAGGAAGAUAGGACCCUGAAGAGAAAAGAUACCAGUUUUUGCUAUGUGGAAUGAUCGACCGUCUGGGAGGAAAGAAUUCUCUGGUUGAACUUGCAACGUUUAAGAGAAAGAUGAAGAGGGAGGUACAGGGAGGAACGAUAGAGAAGGAUGAAAGUCUUGAGGGACGACCCAUGUUGAAUAUUUAUAUCGCGAGGAGCCAGUGAGAAUAAAGCGAGGGAUCGCGUGGAACAGGCUACGAUCUGCGAACCUUCGCGUUUGCAUACCAUGAAAUGGCGCGAAAACCUGAGAAUCUUCGCCUAAUCGAACACCAUGAUCACUAUGCUUUCAAGUAUCCAAACAAGAGGGGCAUCCACGAGGCAAGGGAGUAACAAAGGUGCAAAUUGAUGCAUUAAAUAUCGGCGUCGGGACGUUUUAAUCUGAAAUAGAAGCAGAGAGGAUGGUAUUUUCCGGUUGGAAAUUAAUGCAUGUAGCGUGGAGCGAUUCGAAAUCUCGGCGUGGCGAACAGCUUGAUGGAUGACCGGGCUGGAUUGCCGGGACGUGUUUGUUGUGACGGACGAAAGCUCUUUUGAAGCAAGUCGAGCCGGAGGUUUGUCGUCGGCGUCGAAACGCGUUCAUCGAAAGUGAAGACAUUAGCGAGCUUCAUCAUCUCUCGUUCGUUUUCGGGGAAGUGAAACGAGAAACAGAAAAUCUAUCCUGGCAUCGGGCCAAAGGAAAAUCAGAUCGCCAAUAAAGAGGCCGAUAAACAACGCGGCCAAACACCAAAAUAAUACUCGAUGCUGAUCAAAGUCGAAUAACUCGCGGCGUCUUACCGACCUCGUGUGUCAAGCCACUUCCUUAAAACUUGAAAUUACUGUAUCGUACCGUUCCGACCCCGUUUCUCGACGCCUCUUGGCAAACGAUACUGUCGCAGAGAUGAUUUUCUUCCAUCGUUGAUGAAGAAUUAUCUUCCAUCCACUUUCUAGGAAUAUUGAUGAGGAAAUGAAAACUGGAUUCUUCAA